GGUUGCGAUCAUACCAGCACUAAUGCACCGGAUCCCAUCAGAACUCCGCAGUUAAGCGUGCUUGGGCGAGAGUAGUACUAGGAUGGGUGACCCCCUGGGAAGUCCUGGUGUUGCAACCCC
rnacentral:rRNA from 1 species